GCAUAUCAAUAAGCGGAGGAAAAGAAACCAACAGGGAUUGCCCUAGUAACGGCGAGUGAAGCGGCAACAGCUCAAAUUUGAAAUCUGGCCUCUUCGGGGUCCGAGUUGUAAUUUGCAGAGAGAGCUUUGGCGUUGGUUGUGGUCUAAGUUCCUUGGAACAGGACGUCGCAGAGGGUGAGAAUCCCGUAUGUGGCCGCCAGCCUUCGCCGUGUAAAGCCUUCUCGACGAGUCGAGUUGUUUGGGAAUGCAGCUCUAAAUGGGAGGUAAAUUUCUUCUAAAGCUAAAUAUUGGCCAGAGACCGAUAGCGCACAAGUAGUGUGAUCGAAAGAUGAAAAGCACUUUGGAAAGAGAGUCAAAAAGCACGUGAAAUUGUUGAAAGGGAAGCGCUUGCAGCCAGACUUGCUUGCGGUUGUUCAGCCGGGCUCCUGCCCGGUGUACUCUUCCGCACGCAGGCCAGCAUCAGUCCGGGCGGUCGGAUAAAGGCCCAUUAAACGUACCUCCCCUCGGGGAGGACUUAUAGGGUGGGUGCCAUGCGACCAGCCUGGAUUGAGGUCCGCGCAUCUGCUAGGAUGCUGGCGUAAUGGCUGUAAGCGGCCCGUCUUGAAACACGGACCG
rnacentral:rRNA from 1 species